ensembl:lincRNA
CAGAGAAACUAACAGGAUAGCUAGCUCUUCGGUAAGAUAAAGGCACCCCCAGCAAAUACAGUUACUGCUCACAUCAAGCCAACUGGCUGCGGGAACCCCUCCCUGAGCAGCCCAGAAUACUAGGCUUGCCUAUAUUCCUGUAAUUGAGUCCUGGGAAGCUGAUAAGUCUGCAAACACAUAUUCUCAGUGAUAAGCUCAGUCCACGUGUAAACCCAGAUUUGGGAGAGGAAUAGGGUAGGGCCGGUCGCACGCUUGACACUUCCUUUGGCUCCUUCCUCUGGUUCUCUGGCCAUGCCCCCAUCUAGUCCCUCUCCAUCUCACCCCAACUCCAGGAGUUGAUGGAAUCUGGGUCCCUAAUUAUUGCCCCAAGAGGCCCUCCGCGGUGGGGACUGUCCCCCUCGCAGCCAUCACUAAGACCCGGAGGCGUGGAAUUUCAAUUUGAAACUCCCGUGGCGCGUGAGGGCCGGCGCUGGGCAUGCUCAGUAGCUGCGGCGCGUCUGGGCUGCCGCUAGCUCUGCACUGGCUGCCGCGCUGCCUGCUCUGGGCUGGCGCGGGAGUCCACACGACUGUCACCGCUGCGGCUGCGGGGCUUCCAGCAGGCCAAACGUUCGGCGCCUCUGAGCGACUCGCCCCCGGCCCGCUCUGGUCCCCCUCAGCUGCCGCCUCCUACUCUUCUUCCUCUCCCCAUCUCUUCGGGAGGUGAAGCUGGUGCUUGUUUCUGUCGGCGCCACAGACCGCUCUGCAAACCUCAGACGAGGACCCUGAGAAGAAAUCCUGGAGACCAUAGGACCCUUGGCGGUGGCUCUUGAUCAUAGCACUUUGCCCGUAGUGGGGUCCGUGGCGGAGUUUCUCCUCCACCUCUCAAUGCAAACACUAUGCGGAGAGCAGUUGGCUUCCCUGCGCUGUGCCUGCUUCUUAAUCUUCACGCUGCAGGGUGCUUUUCAGGAAACAAUGAUCGCUUUUGGGCAAUUCAUCAGAAGAAGAGUGGGAAGCCGGUAUUCAUUUAUCACCGUUCACAAGAUAUUGAGAAGAGCCUGGAUAUAACUCCACAAAAGAUAUAUAAACAUAGCUAUCCUUCCUCUUCUGAGACUCAGAUAGGUAAACGCCACCACAUUGUUAAUUCAGCCUUUCCUAGACCUGCGUAUGACCCAUCUCUCAAUCUGUUGGCUGUGGCUGGUCAAGAUCUUGAAGUGGAAAAUCUACCAAUUCCAGCAGCAAAUGUAAUUGUGGUGGUGGCUCCACAUGGGCAGCGAUAUGCACUGCAGUAGGAUGCAAGUAAUGAAUGUAGCUCCUCAGUUUCUCUGCAUUUCUCCUGAAGACCUGUCUGCAUUGAUUGGUCAACUCAGGCCUGUGGGAGUAAGAAACUACCAGACCUAAGGAGGUUAUAACCAUCAUCAGUUCAAUGCCUUUUAUACCACUUGGCCAGGGGAGACCACAUCAGCUGUUCACAGACUGUUACGGUAUAAAGAACUUUCUGCUUUAGCACAACUAUAGUCCACAUUCUGCUUGUGGCCAGCCCCCAUCCUCAUACAAUGUCUUAUCACAGAUUGUUUUCCUAAUGUUAGAGCUCUUUUUGUAUAUCCUUUAGAAAUUGUAGCCUAGUGGUUAAGAACAUAUGUUCUGGAGUCAAACUGCCAUGGUUUAAAUCUUUACUGCUUAAAAGCUAUGUGAUCUUGAACCUCAAUUUCCUCAUCUAUGCAAUGGGAACAAUAUGGUAUAUACCCUAUUUAAUCGUGAAGAUUAAAUAAGACAACUCAUGU